rnacentral:lncRNA from 1 species
UCGAUUCAGUAUCGGACCUUGUCGUGGAUCAUUAAAAUUCAAUCCAAAGUUGUACGGACGCUUUGGAGUCUGGACUGUUUACGCUGAAAUCGUCGCGUGCUGAGCCCGAUCAACUCAGCAUCGUGUAUGAUAGGCAGGGUAUUACGGUUGAGAACCAAAGUGGACCAAGGAGGUUGAGUAGUAAGAGCGAAGUAGAAGCGCGAACUCAGAAGGAAGUAUAAGCGAAGGUCAUUAGAAACGGAUGUUGGAGCUGCAACAGUC